rnacentral:rRNA from 1 species
UACAGAGGGUGCAAGCGUUAAUCGGAAUUACUGGGCGUAAAGCGUGCGUAGACGGUUAUGUAAGUCAGAUGUGAAAGCCCCGGGCUCAACCUGGGAAUUGCAUUUGAGACUGUGUAGCUAGGGUGCGGAAGAGGGAAGCGGAAUUUCCGGUGUAGCGGUGAAAUGCGUAGAUAUCGGAAGGAACACCAGUGGCGAAAGCGGCUUCCUGGUCCAGCACCGACGUUCAGGCACGAAAGCGUGGGGAGCAAACAGGG